rnacentral:lncRNA from 1 species
CUGUUAAAGACAGAAGCAGAGACAGAUUCAGUUGGUGUUUUUUUCUUCUAAAAAUAUUGUUGUUAUUGUUUUCUGGGUGAAGGAUUAAUAAAAUAAGUUCCAGUUUAAUAUAAAUAUGAUGAUGAAAGAAGAUUGAGAUAGAGUAGAAAAGAAAAAGAUAAUAAGAAGCAAGAAGUGGAAUAAUUGUGGAUAUUAAGAAAGAUUGUUAGUUGUGGCGU